rnacentral:lncRNA from 1 species
AAUACACUCAUCCCACCCGCCAUCAUUUCAAAAAUGUCCCUACCCCUUCCCCCUUCAUCUUUCCUUUCCAUUCCUUUCUUUUAUUUUUAUAAAAAACGGUGUGAGAAAGUAGGAUUGGAGAGUGUUUACUCACUUGUGACGAUGAAUCAAGAAAUUCAGUAAUAUAGACAGAGAAUGAAUUGGAAUUGGAUGAAGUACUCCU